UUUUUCAAUCGAAAUGGACCAAUCCUUACAGAUACAUUACAUAAAAAUAGAUGACACAAACAUCUUGUGCAAGUCAUUUCUUAUACAUCUCUUAAAUAGAUGGCAACUAAAAUAGGCUUGUAUGUGAGAUGAAUUUCUAGACUAAUUGUUAGGUAACUCUUCAAUCCAACAUGGGGUGUAUGGAAAAGAUUUGAUCCUCUCCUGUUCAUUACUUAACUGUUUGAAAUGACCAUAAUCAUUUGGGUAUAUAUUCCCUAAUUCUUCAAUCUUGAAGCCAUUCAAAUGAUAUGCCAGUGCUGUCCACUCUGAUGUACUACUCAAGAAGACAAUAUCUUUGUAUGGGUGAAACCCAAGUAUCUCAAUGUCUUCAUCAUAUGAAUCAUCAUAAUGCUCUUCAUCCCAAUAACACUCUUCAACCAUAUCACAAUUGUUAACAACAUUACGAUUGUUGUACUUCCAAUCCAAUUUCUUUUCAAUUAUUGCUUUCUUGUUGUCUUCUAAGCAACAAUGCUUAACCAAGUUCUCGUUUUCAACAUCAUCGUCAGAGUUCCAUUCAAAAAUCUCCUCAGUGC
rnacentral:lncRNA from 1 species